rnacentral:rRNA from 1 species
CCUACGGGAGGCAGCAGUGGGGAAUAUUGCACAAUGGGGGAAACCCUGAUGCAGCGACGCCGCGUGAGUGAAGAAGUAAUUCGUUACGUAAAGCUCUAUCAGCAGGGAAGAAAUACUGACCUUACGGUCAGCAGACGGUACCUGAGUAAGAAGCCCCGGCUAACUACGUGCCAGCAGCCGCGGGAAUACGUAGGGGGCAAGCGUUAUCCGGAUUUACUGGGUGUAAAGGGAGCGUAGACGUGGCGCCAAGUCUGGAGUGAAAUACCGCAGCUUAACUCCGGAACUGCUUUGGAAACUGGCGGACUAGAGUGCGGGAGGGGUAAGCGGAAUUCCUGGUGUAGCGGUGAAAUGCGUAGAUAUUAGGAGGAACACCGGUGGCGAAGGCGGCUUACUGGACCGUAACUGACGUUGAGGCUCGAAAGCGUGGGGAGCAAACAGGAUUAGAUACCCGUGUAGUC